CAGCCGCCGCGGUAAUGCGUAGGUGGCAAGCGUUAAUCGGAAUUACUGGGCGUAAAGCGUGCGCAGGCGGUUUCUUAAGUCUGAUGUGAAAGCCCCCGGCUCAACCGGGGAGGGUCAUUGGAAACUGGGAAACUUGAGUGCAGAAGAGGGGAGUGGAAUUCCACGUGUAGCGGUGAAAUGCGUAGAGAUGUGGAGGAACACCAGUGGCGAAGGCGACUCUCUGGUCUGUAACUGACGCUGAGGAGCGAAAGCGUGGGGAGCGAACAGGAUUAGAUACCCCUGUAGUCCCUGUCUCUUAUAC
rnacentral:rRNA from 1 species